AAUCAACGCUGGCGGCGUGCCUAACACAUGCAAGUCGAACGCGAAAGCCCCGCAAGGGGUAAGUAGAGUGGCAAACGGGUGAGUAACACGUGGGUGACCUGCCUUCGAGUGGGGGAUAACGUCCCGAAAGGGACGCUAAUACCGCAUGACAUCCUGCUUUUGAAAAAGCGGAGAUCAAAGCUGGGGAUCGCAAGACCUAGCGCUUGAAGAGGGGCCCGCGCCUGAUUAGCUAGUUGGUGAGGUAACGGCUCACCAAGGCGACGAUCAGUAUCCGGCCCGAGAGGGCGGACGGACACACUGGGACUGAGACACGGCCCAGACUCCUACGGGAGGCAGCAGUGGGGAAUUGUUCGCAAUGGGCGCAAGCCUGACGACGCAACGCCGCGUGGAGGACGAAGAUCUUCGGGUCGUAAACUCCUGUCGAGCGGGACGAACGCUUCGCGGAUGAAUAAUCCGCGGAAUUGACGGUACCGCUAAAGGAAGCCCCGGCUAACUCCGUG
rnacentral:rRNA from 1 species